ensembl:snRNA U2 U2 spliceosomal RNA
AUCGCUUCUCGGCCUUUUGGCUAAGAUCAAGUGUAGAAUAUGCAAUCGUACAGAUGUUCAUGAUAGAGAAACACUGAAACACGACAUACGUGUGAAGUUAGGCAACUUCACAUGAUGACCAUUAUGUGUUGCCCACUAGCAAAAUAUAUAUAUAUAUAUAUAUAUAUAUAUAUAUAUAUAUAUAAUAUAU